rnacentral:rRNA from 2 species
CUUCCCAUUCCGAACAGAGAAGUUAAGCCUUGUCACGCCGAUGGUACUGCGUCACAGUGGGAGAGUAGGUAGCCGCCGUUU